CAAACCUAUAGCCUAAAUCCAUAGCCAGACAGCUUCGGCUAAACCAAACCUUAAUUCUCUCUCUCUCUCUCUUUCUGUUUGCCUCGACAAAUAUAAAUAACAAUUAUUUUCAUUAUGUCAAAAGCAAACAAAAGCAGAGGAAAAAACGAGACUCAGAAGCUUUAGACUUUUCUUUGAAAAGCUUAACACCCACAACCCAAAAGCGUGUUUUAUUUUCUUGUGUCGCAUUUCCAGGAGUUCCUAUCAAAUACCAAUGAGUGAUCAUCUGGUUUUGUGUGCUGAUCGUCUCAUAACACCUGAAAGUUUGCAAUCAAUGGAAGGAGAUAAGGAGUCAGCAUCUUCUGGGGAGUGUUCAUCGUCUCAUACUGCUGAUGAACACACUUGUGUUAUUAAUGUUGAGGAAGUGGGGGAACAUGGCAUAUCUGAGGAAGAAGAACCACUUAUUCAAACAAU
rnacentral:misc_RNA from 1 species